GGAGGCAGCAGUAGGGAAUUUUCGGCAAUGGACGGAAGUUUGACCGAGCAACGCCGCGUGAGUGAAGAAGGUUUUCGGAUCGUAAAGCUCUGUUGUAAGAGAAGAACGAGUGUGAGAGUGGAAAGUUCACACUGUGACGGUAUCUUACCAGAAAGGGACGGCUAACUACGUGCCAGCAGCCGCGGUAAUACGUAGGUCCCGAGCGUUGUCCGGAUUUAUUGGGCGUAAAGCGAGCGCAGGCGGUUAGAUAAGUCUGAAGUUAAAGGCUGUGGCUUAACCAUAGUAGGCUUUGGAAACUGUUUAACUUGAGUGCAAGAGGGGAGAGUGGAAUUCCAUGUGUAGCGGUGAAAUGCGUAGAUAUAUGGAGGAACACCGGUGGCGAAAGCGGCUCUCUGGCUUGUAACUGACGCUGAGGCUCGAAAGCGUGGGGAGCAAACAGGAUUAGAUACCCUGGUAGUCCACGCUGUAAACGAUGAGUGCUAGGUGUUAGACCCUUUCCGGGGUUUAGUGCCGUAGCUAACGCAUUAAGCACUCCGCCUGGGGAGUACGACCGCAAGGUUG
rnacentral:rRNA from 1 species